UUUUUAAUAGUAUCUGAGUAACUAAAUUAAAAGAAAUUAAGAAGUUAAGAAUAUAAAACCUAUGAGAAACACUUAAUCCUAUGGAAGAGAAAGAAAGCACUUGACCAAUGUAGAAUGAUUAGAGAUAAAAGGUGUACUAGUAGGAAUCCUACAAUUAGUAGCUAUAAUAAUAAUGACUAUAUGAGAUCAUAGUUAUGUAUGAGUGUGUAGAUAAAAACACACUCAAACUGAAGUAUAAUCACACAUAAACACUAAAUACUAUGAGUACUAGAAAAAAAUAUAUAAAACAUAUCAAAUAAAAUAGUUGAAGGUAUAAAAAAAGUAUAAAGGGUAUUUUAAAAAAAUACUUCAGAAUGACAAUAAUAAGUUACAACAAAUGAUAAUAAUAUUAGUAUUCUUCAUUUUACUAUUUUCACAACCUCUAUUUUUCGUACUAUGAUAAGACUUGUAGAUAUAGGUACAUUAUUAAUUGAGUUAGAAUAUGACUAAUAGGAGUUUAACAUAUGAUUCUUAAAUUUUUCUUUGAAGCAAGAUAGACUCUUUGACUGUUUAAUAGCUUAGGUCCUAAGUACAUGAGAGAGUGUUUGAAUAGUGUUAACUUGGGUCUGGGUAUGUAGAGUGAAUGAUGGUGUCGAGUUUGGUAAUUGUGAAUGGGUAGUGUGUUGUGGUUAUUUGAAUUUAUUGUUUUGUACAUGAAUGAUGCAACAAUAAGUUUUGAUAAAUCAGUAAGGUUCAAGAUAUUUAGUUAUUUUGAAUAAAGGUUGAGUAUGUUCAUUGAAAUCACUGUUGGUUAUUAUUCUGAUAACUUUCUUGUGAAGUACAUUAAUUUGAGACAGAUGACAAGGGUAGGUUUGCGACCAGAUAGGAUUACAAUAGGUAAGAUGAGGGUAUAUGUGGGCAUAUACUCUCUCUCUCUCUCUCUCUCUCUCUCUCUCUCUCUCUCUCUCUCACCUAUAUUUUAACCAGUUUUCUUACAACAACCAACAUGCAACAACAAUAGGAUAGAGUGAAAGCAAACACACACACACACACACACACACACACACACAGAUCAUACUCACUCGACACACACUGGGUUAGAUAUACUCUUCCUGAGGCAUUCUUCCCCUCCCCCCCCCCCUCCCUCGCCCCUCUCCACCCCCGUCAGUAGUAGGUCAGUGUGCCUCAUUCUCCUCAGUAGGCCACCCUCAACCCCCCGCGGCAGGCAGACGUCCGCGCUUGACAGAAAGAAAACGCAUUGUAAUCCUGCUGACGUCAUUGCCUCUGAGUCAUCGUCAUCACCAUCAUCAUCAGUUGUCGGGCUCCGGGACCUCCGCCUCCUCGGCCUGCCCUACCCCGGCCUGACGAACGGGGUAGGCGGCGGGUCGGGCACCACUGGAGGAGCCUUCUUGCCCCCCCAGGACCUCUUCCCCAAGGAUUUUCAUGGCUAGCCACGCGUCGUCCACCUGAGAGGAAGAACGAGGUUGGUAAAGCCUCACCUCCCCAUUCGUAACCGAAGUUCCUGUUGAGGUCGACCCCCACACACCUACUGCCGGAGGCCUUGGCCGCGUUCUUCCUCCAGAGGCGAUCCUGCGCAGGGAGGGAGGGAGGGAG